rnacentral:rRNA from 1 species
UGGGGAAUAUUGGACAAUGGGCGAAAGCCUGAUCCAGCCAUGCCGCGUGUGUGAAGAAGGCCUUUUGGUUGUAAAGCACUUUAAGUGGGGAGGAAAAGCUUAUGGUUAAUGCCCAUAAGCCCUGACGUUACCCACAGAAUAAGCACCGGCUAACUCUGUGCCAGCAGCCGCGGUAAUACAGAGGGUGCAAGCGUUAAUCGGAAUUACUGGGCGUAAAGCGCGCGUAGGUGGUUAUUUAAGUCAGAUGUGAAAGCCCCGGGCUUAACCUGGGAACUGCAUCUGAUACUGGAUAACUAGAGUAGGUGAGAGGGGAGUAGAAUUCCAGGUGUAGCGGUGAAAUGCGUAGAGAUCUGGAGGAAUACCGAUGGCGAAGGCAGCUCCCUGGCAUCAUACUGACACUGAGGUGCGAAAGCGUGGGUAGCAAACAGGAUUAGAUACCCUGGUAGUCCACGCCGUAAACGAUGUCUACCAGUCGUUGGGUCUUUUAAAGACUUAGUGACGCAGUUAACGCAAUAAGUAGACCGCCUGGGGAGUACGGCCGCAAGGUUA